UCCAGCAAGUACAGGCCAUAAAGCCGUCAAGCACUCAUCAUAUGUUAACCCAAUCAUCUCUGGGAUCAUUCUCAAAUACCUCCUCUGGACCCUCUCCAGCACCAACACAGCCCUCCUCAGAUGUGGGGGCCCAAAACUGCUCACAAUACUCCAAAUGUGUUCGGACCAGCACCUUAUAAUGUCUCAGCAUAACAUUCCUGCUUUUAUAUUCUAGCCCUUCCAAAAUGAAUCCUAACAUUGCAUUUGCCUUCCUGACUACCGAUUCAACCUGCAAAUGAACAUUUUGGGAAUACUGCAUCAGCACUCCCAAGUCCCUUUGCACUUCCGAUUUCUGAAUCCUCUCCCCAUUUAGAAAAUAGGUUGUC